GGGGAGGAGACACCGGACACCGCACCAGAAAAGGUGCAAGGCUGGGACGCGCGAAGAGAUGGGCUGCUCCGCCUCACGAGGCCGCCGCGCCCACUGAGGGGAGGCUGGGUCCUGCUGAGGAGAACAGCCAGGAGGCGCAGGCUUGCGUGGAGGGACGCGAUGGGGACCCCGUGUGAUUACGCGGCCAGACGCGGCCAGAGAAAGCACUGCGUUCCGUGUCCGCCUCCCAGCUGAGCCUGUGGUGAGGGAACAAGGCGGGCCAGGCCUGAGAGAGGCUCGUGGGACAGCCCGGGAAGCGCCUGUUCCAGAAAGGGCCAAUGAGAGUGCCUUGCUCUCCUGUCCGGUCUUUGACACUGUGUGAAAAUGUGCCUGGAGUGCAAAUCAAAACAGCGCUGACUCCUUCCCUCCUGAAAGAUCGGCCACCAUCGAGGACAAAAAACAAUCAAGUCAACUCCAAGAACCAGAGCUUGCUGACCGUGUCAUGCUGUGACCUCAAGCAGCCGAUGUUCAUGGGGUUCACCAGGAGCUGAAAGAGACCUGAGGGCCCGGGUGAAGCUGAAGGUUUACAGCUCGGCCCAGCUGCGUCCAGCCGCUGCCCACCCAACCUUCUGCUUCCCCACUCACCUAUGGCCAGGAGCCCCCCAGUGCCAGCCCCCAGCAGGAAGGCAG
rnacentral:lncRNA from 1 species